GAAAUUCACAAUGGCGGAAACGUCGGAGUUGAAGCAUAUGGUUAUGAGUUUUCGAGUGUCUGAAUUGCAAGUUUUGUUGGGUUUUGCGGGAAAGAACAAGAGUGGACGUAAACAUGAACUCCAGGCACGAGCUCUUCAGCUUUUAAAAAAUGGCUGUGACACGCCAGUGCAAAUAAAAAUUAAAAACUUGUACAGAAGGCGGUAUCCACAUAAGUUUCAUGUGAUAAGUCCACCUCAUGCGACAAUGUCAUCAUCAACAACAACAACGUCGUCGUCAUCAUCAAAUACACAGUAUUCCACAAAUUUUAGAUUACAACCAACACAUUCACAAGGACUAUUGAACUUAAAUAACACUGCAUCGUCAGGAUCACAAUCAAGUUCACUGCCAGUGCAUCCUGAUGUCCGGUUAAAACAUUUACCAUUUUAUGAUGUAUUGGAUGAUUUGAUCAAACCAACAAGUUUAG
rnacentral:sRNA from 1 species